AAGGAGAAUAAAAAGAUCGAACAAAGAGAAAUCAUUUAAGCUAACACAAGACGACAGCAAGUGUUAGAAUGGACGGGAGAAAACAGAUGCAUUAUCAGAGCGGGAAAUUGCAGAGACUGUGUUGUGAAUUAAUAUAGAAGAAUAUUAAGAGCUCACAUGGAAUUUAGAUGAGGUAAAAAAUCAUGAAGAUCAUG